GCAUUCUUAGCUUAACGGAUAGAGCAAUGGAUUUCUAAUCCAUGUGUUAUAGGUUCAAUUCCUAUAGAAUGUA
rnacentral:tRNA from 1 species